AGAUUGAACGCUGGCGGCAUGCCUUACACAUGCAAGUCGAACGGCAGCACGGGAGCAAUCCUGGUGGCGAGUGGCGAACGGGUGAGUAAUACAUCGGAACGUGCCCAAUCGUGGGGGAUAACGCAGCGAAAGCUGUGCUAAUACCGCAUAAGAUCUACGGAUGAAAGCAGGGGAUCGCAAGACCUUGCGCGAAUGGAGCGGCCGAUGGCAGAUUAGGUAGUUGGUGAGGUAAGGCUCACCAAGUCUUCGAUCUGUAGCUGGUCUGGAGAGGACCGACCAGCCCACUACGUGGGACCUGGACGACCGACCGGCCCAGUACCUCCGUAACGGGAGGCAGCGAGGUAGGGGUAACUUUGGACAAGUGGGACGAAAGCCGUGACUCCGAG
rnacentral:rRNA from 1 species